CGUCGCCGCGGUAAUACGAAGGGGGCUAGCGUUACUCGGAAUUACUGGGCGUAAAGGGCGCGUAGGCGGCACGAUUAGUCAGGCGUGAAAUUCCUGGGCUCAACCUGGGGACUGCGCUUGAUACGGUCGAGCUAGAGGAUGGAAGAGGGUUGUGGAAUUCCCAGUGUAGAGGUGAAAUUCGUAGAUAUUGGGAAGAACACCGGUGGCGAAGGCGGCAACCUGGUCCAUUACUGACGCUGAGGCGCGACAGCGUGGGGAGCAAACAGGAUUAGAUACCCCGGUAGUCCCUGUCUCUUAUACA
rnacentral:rRNA from 1 species